GUGGAAGGGUCCUUUGACUGAGAGGGUGGUAGAUUGUUGAGCAGCUUCUCCAAAUAAUUGAAUUUGACAUUAGCAUUUGGCCAGACCUCCAAAGCUUGUGAUAAUAGAUCCAAAGCUUGUUUGUACAUCAAACUUGCUUCCUUAUCUUUGGGCUCUAUCACUAACGCCACUCUGAUCAGGAAAUUAAUAAUCAUUUCCUCCAUUGCUGCAUUUGGCUUGAACUCUU
rnacentral:misc_RNA from 1 species